rnacentral:rRNA from 1 species
GUGAGGAAUAUUGGUCAAUGGGCGCAAGCCUGAACCAGCCAUGCCGCGUGCAGGAUGACGGUCCUAUGGAUUGUAAACUGCUUUUGUACAGGAAGAAACACUCCCUCGUGAGGGAGCUUGACGGUACUGUAAGAAUAAGGAUCGGCUAACUCCGUGCCAGCAGCCGCGGUAAUACGGAGGAUCCAAGCGUUAUCCGGAAUCAUUGGGUUUAAAGGGUCCGUAGGCGGGUUUAUAAGUCAGUGGUGAAAGCCCAUCGCUCAACGAUGGAACGGCCAUUGAUACUGUAGAUCUUGAAUUAUUAGGAAGUAACUAGAAUAUGUAGUGUAGCGGUGAAAUGCUUAGAGAUUACAUGGAAUACCGAUUGCGAAGGCAGGUUACUACUAAUGGAUUGACGCUGAUGGACGAAAGCGUGGGUAGCGAACAGGAUUAGAAACCCGGGUAGUCC